rnacentral:rRNA from 1 species
AUACGGAGGGUGCGAGCGUUAAUCGGAAUUACUGGGCGUAAAGCGUACGUAGGCGGUUGGUUAAGUUAGAUGUGAAAGCCCCGGGCUUAACCUGGGAACUGCAUUUAAAACUGGCGAACUAGAGUUGAGUAGAGGGGAGUGGAAUUUCAGGUGUAGCGGUGAAAUGCGUAGAGAUCUGAAGGAACUCCAGUGGCGAAGGCGACUCCCUGGACUCGAACUGACGCUGAGGUACGAAAGCGUGGGUAGCAAACGGGAUUAGAAACCCCAGUAGUCC